rnacentral:rRNA from 1 species
GACGAACGCUGGCGGCGUGCCUAAUACAUGCAAGUCGAACGCACUCUCGUUUAGAUUGAAGGAGUUUGCUCCUGAUUGAUAAACAUUUGAGUGAGUGGCGGACGGGUGAGUAACACGUGGGUAACCUGCCCUAAAGUGGGGGAUAACAUUUGGAAACAGAUGCUAAUACCGCAUAAAACCUAACACCGCAUGGUGUAGGGUUGAAAGAUGGUUUCGGCUAUCACUUUAGGAUGGACCCGCGGUGCAUUAGUUAGUUGGUGAGGUAAAGGCUCACCAAGACCGUGAUGCAUAGCCGACCUGAGAGGGGAAUCGGCCACACUGGGACUGAGACACGGCCCAGACUCCUACGGGAGGCAGCAGUAGGGAAUCUUCCACAAUGGACGAAAGUCUGAUGGAGCAACGCCGCGUGAGUGAAGAAGGUUUUCGGAUCGUAAAACUCUGUUGUUGGAGAAGAAUGUAUCUGAUAGUAACUGAUCAGGUAGUGACGGUAUCCAACCAGAAAGCCACGGCUAACUACGUG